GAUGAAGAACGCAGCGAAAUGCGAUAAGUAGUGUGAAUUGCAGAAUUCAGUGAAUCAUCGAAUCUUUGAACGCACAUUGCGCCCCUUGGUAUUCCAUGGGGCAUGCCUGUUCGAGCGUCAUUUACACCCUCAAGCUCCGCUUGGUGUUGGGCGUCUGUCCCGCUUCGUGCGCGGACUCGCCCCAAAGGCAUUGGCAGCGGUCCUUGCCAGCUUCUCGCGCAGCACAUUGCGCUUCUCGAGGCUGACGGAUCGGCGUCCAUCAAGCCCACUUCCACAGUUUGACCUCGGAUCAGGUAGGGAUACCCGCUGAACUUAAGCAUAUCAAUAAGCGGAGGA
rnacentral:misc_RNA from 1 species